AACGAACGCUGGCGGCAUGCCUAACACAUGCAAGUCGAACGAGACCUUCGGGUCUAGUGGCGCCCGGGUGCGUAACGCGUGGGAACCUGCCCUUAGGUUCGGAAUAACUCCCCGAAAGGGGUGAUAAUACCGGAUCAUGUCUUCGGACCAAAGAUUUAUCGCCUUUGGAUGGGCCCGCGUUGGAUUAGCUCGUUGGUAGGGUAAAAGCUUACCACGGCGACGAUCCAUAGCUGGUCUGAGAGGAUGAUCAGCCACACUGGGACUGAGACACGGCCCAGACUCCUACGGGAGGCAGCAGUGGGUAAUAGUGGACAAUGGGCGAAAUCCUGAUCCAGCAAUGCCGCGUGAGUGAUGAAGGCCGUAGAGUUGUAAAGCUCUUUUACCCGGGAUGAUGAUGACAGUACCGGGAGAAUAAGCUCCGGCUAACUCCGUG
rnacentral:rRNA from 1 species